AACGACUCGCAACGGAUAUCUCGGCCUCGUGAUCGAUGAAGAACGAAGUUAAAUGCGAUACUUGGUGUGAAUUGCGUAAUCCCGUGAACCAUCGAGUCUUUGAACGCAAGUUGCGCCCAAGCCAUUAGGCCGAGGGCACGCCCGCCUGGUGUCA